rnacentral:rRNA from 1 species
GAUGAACGCUGGCGGCGUGCCUAAUACAUGCAAGUCGAGCGAACAGACGAGGAGCUUGCUCCUCUGACGUUAGCGGCGGACGGGUGAGUAACACGUGGAUAACCUACCUAUAAGACUGGGAUAACUUCGGGAAACCGGAGCUAAUACCGGAUAAUAUAUUGAACCGCAUGGUUCAAUAGUGAAAGACGGUUUUGCUGUCACUUAUAGAUGGAUCCGCGCCGCAUUAGCUAGUUGGUAAGGUAACGGCUUACCAAGGCAACGAUGCGUAGCCGACCUGAGAGGGUGAUCGCCCACCCUGGAGCUGAGCCACGGUCCAGACUCCUACGGGAGGCAGCAGUAGGGAAUCUUCCGCAAUGGGCGAAAGCUUGACGGAGCAACGCCGCGUGAGUGAUGAAGGUCUUCGGAUCGUAAAACUCUGUUAUUAGGGAAGAACAAAUGUGUAAGUAACUAUGCACGUCUUGACGGUACCUAAUCAGAAAGCCACGGCUAACUACGUG